GGCGCAAAAGGAGCCAGAGGCCAGACAGGUCCAAAGGGUAGAAAGGGUGCACAGGUGUGAAAAUCACAUAAUUCUGCACAAUUUUUCCUUCAAGUCUAUUCAAAUUUAUCUUUAAUACUUUUCAGGGUGAUCCUGGAAUUGAAGGUCAGAUUGGACGACUUGGUCCAAAGGUUUGCUAAAACCAGUGAGGUGAGGGUUUUUGGUGCUGUAACCUGUGAGGUUUGAUCGGUGCAUUUGUGUGUAUCCUCAGGGGGAUGUUGGGUUGAAAGGUGAUAAGGUGAGAUAUGUCUUCUAGUUUAGUAAAUCUUUGUCAAACAGAAUAGGAUGCUGAUAGGUUUGAUCUCUUUCAACAGGGUGAAGUUGGUGUAGGCGGAGCAAAGGUAUUGUGGGGCUAGCAUCCAUGUUUUUCAUGUUAUUCUGAAGCUACAUUGUGUUGCUGCUUGUGUUUAUCCUUUGUCUCCUUGCAUCACAAACCCUUAGGGUGUGGCAGGCGUACCAGGAAAAAAUGGAGUUCACGGACAAAAGGUGAGUACUGAUUUUUAAAGGUAGAAUAUGAACAUUUUAUAAAGGAAAUGAAACAAAAAUGGUGAUGUUUUAUGUUUAGGGUACAAUGGGCAGAAUUGGAGCUCCUGGCUGCAAAGGUGAUCCAGGCAAUGAGGGACCAGAGGGCUACCAAGGAGAAGCUGGUGAGACCGGUCCUCAAGGAUCCAAUGG
rnacentral:lncRNA from 1 species